UUUAUACUCCCUCCGUCCAGAAAUACUUGUCAUCAAAAUGGAUAAAAGGAAAUGUAUCUAGACGUAUUUUAGUUUUAGAUACAUCUCUUUUUAUCCAUUUUGAUGACAAGUAUUUUCGGACGGAGGGAGUAUUUU
rnacentral:pre_miRNA from 1 species